AAAAAGAGGGUGCACUCGUUUUUACUAUGUUUGUAUGCAAUAUAUAGAAUUUCUUUUUUUAAAAUAUUGAAUUUAAUUCAUUUCUGACGAGCUGAAAAAAAAAAAAAGGGUAUGGGUCUGCGUUCAGACUUGUGGGAGGCGGAGCCAGUGAUUAGUGCUCAUUAGAGUGUACAGCAGAUGGUCAUUAGGAGCUGUGGCACCAAUGAACAUUUGUAGGAUUGUGCAAGGAGGCAUGGUGGACCUUUUAGGGUGCCUCCUCAUGGACUUGUUUCAGAAGAUUUACACAGGAACUGAACAUGACUAUGAGCAUCAAGUGAGGGUUUCAUGAAGACCUGGUUGACCUGACAUCCUCAAGCCCAGCAAACACCUUUAAGAUGAACUGGAACAUGCAUGGAGCUGCAGUGUUCGAGUUCCUCCUGAAAGCAGGUGAUCCAGCGAGGAACUCGACUCGAAUACGGAGGAGUGCAGCGCAAAAAAAAAGAAAAACCCACGAAGGCCACUCAUGCAUAAUUCAUCAAGCUCGUGACUACAUCAUGCAAGACUGAGUAAGAUGCCCUCUGCGUGUUCCAGAGGCUACGAAGAUCAUCUCUGUAAACAAGAAAAGGAGAUGGAAAGUGAGAGGUUUUGCAGCACAAGUGAGGCAUUGUGGGCCAGAGGAGAGACAGCCGCUGUCCCCACAUCACUCUGUCCCUCCCUCCACCGCCUGCCACAGCUGUGCAUGAACAAGACCAGGGCCAGAGGACAACAUAUAUCAAUGUGGAGACUGUGGAGGGCUCAUCAGAGCUAUAAAGCCCUUUUAGCAUGGGAUUGAGAUCACGAAUGCCACCUGUGUCGACAGAGAACAUCGAAAAUAAUCUGGUUUGUAUACAAAAAGGAGUUCAGGAUGCUCUAAGAAAUAAAUCUACUGACCAGAUUGCUGCCUGUGUGUACGGUGGACUGAGCUGUAGUGUCGGGAUUGAACAGGAGGGAUUUUUCUUCGCUUAAUCCAAGUUCAGAGUGACCUGGACCAGGACUAGUGUGCAGCUGAUGUACUUCAUUAGGCAUAAUAACUCUGUAGUGCUAUAUACAGUAAAAUGCUAUAUUUGGAUGAAUAUGUGUUGUAGUCUGGGGGAAAAAAAAAAAAAAU